rnacentral:tRNA from 1 species
UCCUGGUGGUUCAGAUGGUAAAGCAUCUGCCUACAAUGCAGGAGACCCAGGUUCAAUCCCUGGGUUGGGAA